GGUACUCUCAGGUGUGCCAUCAGCGGAUCAACUGGACACUGACCAGGGCCCUAUAUCAACAGGUUCAUAUCCUCUAAGGCCAUCUCCCACCAGUGAAUCAGACGAUCUCCAAUCUAGGCAACCCCUCUGAAGAGGAACCUGACACCAUUCGGCCUUCCUGCAGUAGGCCUGCCUCUGUACGUGCCCCCAGGUCCCGUCCAACUGCACGUGUCAUCUCCGAUGCGGUCUUGGAUAACCAGGAGCAGAUUGCGCAAAGUCUCUGUGAAAUCGCUUCUACUCUGGCCACAAUAUCAGAAAAACUCAAAGACAAACACACAUUAAAAAAUAUAAAGAACGCGCACUGAAA